ACAUCGGUGGUUUAGUGGUAGAAUCCUUACCUUCUGUGGGGGAGACCUGGGUUUAAUUCCCAGCCAAAGUA
rnacentral:tRNA from 1 species